AAUAAGACAAAAAUGAUAAAAGCUAUCAUUUUUUUCCAUUCUUUCUUCUUCAACCGUGGGAAAGAACUGAAAAUGGCAGCCAUGGAUGAGCUCCAUUCAGCCAAGCUUCUAUGGCUUAUAUAGAUGAUGAAAAUUGAGACUUGGACCUAGAACGGAAAGAAAUCGAUUUAUGGACGAGUAUGUCCUUUUCACAUUUGUGGUAUCGAGAGUUCCAGGUUAGCUCGGGUUGGAAGCCGUCGGAGAUAUUAUCACCCUAUCGAGUUAACGUUAUCGAGUAAGUAAACUCAAGUGAUUCGAGUCUAUGGCAUGUAUAAGGUUUUAAUGUGAGUAUGUAAUAUUAUGAUUUAGCCAAAGGCAUUGGCUUGUUAUUAAGGUAGUAUUAGUCAUGUAAAUUAGCCUAUGUCGGCUAAUGACGUUAUGGGCCCAUAUGAUUAUUCUUAUGCAUUUAUGUUAUUAUUUCUUGUGAUGUGGCUUACAACAUGUAUGCCUAGAGAUUGAAUUGAGAUUCAUUGAUGAGCUAGUAACUAAUGCAGGAUUAAGUGAUUGGUAAAUAGUUAAUAAUGCUUCAUGAAUGGUUUGUGAUGUAAUGAUAGUUAUGUCUAGUAUGUGGUAAA